rnacentral:rRNA from 1 species
GACGAACGCUGGCGGCGUGCUUAACACAUGCAAGUCGAGCGAGGCCCCUCCUUCUGGCGGGUGUCCUAGCGGCGAACGGGUGAGUAACACGUGGGCAACCUGCCCUCAGCUCUGGGAUAACUCCGGGAAACCGGGGCUAAUACCGGAUACGACCUCCACGGGCAUCUGCGGAGGUGGAAAGUUUUUCGGCUGAGGAUGGGCCCGCGGCCUAUCAGCUAGUUGGUGGGGUAGUGGCCCACCAAGGCGACGACGGGUAGCCGGCCUGGGAGGGCGACCGGCCACACUGGGACUGAGACACGGCCCAGACUCCUACGGGAGGCAGCAGUGGGGAAUAUUGCGCAAUGGGCGAAAGCCUGACGCAGCGACGCCGCGUGAGGGAAGAAGGCCUUCGGGUUGUAAACCUCUUUCAGCAGGGACGAAGCGAAAGUGACGGUACCUGCAGAGGAAGCACCGGCCAACUACGUG